rnacentral:rRNA from 1 species
CACGUAGGGGGCAAGCGUUGUCCGGAUUUAUUGGGCGUAAAGAGCUCGUAGGCGGUUCGGUAAGUCGGGUGUGAAACCUCCAGGCUCAACCUAGAGUCGCCACUCGAUACUGCUGUGACUAGAGUCCGGUAGGGGAGCGUGGAAUUCCUGGUGUAGCGGUGAAAUGCGCAGAUAUCAGGAGGAACACCAGCGGCGAAGGCGGCGCUCUGGGCCGGAACUGACGCUGAGGAGCGAAAGCAUGGGGAGCGAACAGG